rnacentral:rRNA from 1 species
UACAGAGGGGGCAAGCGUUGUUCGGAAUUACUGGGCGUAAAGGGCGCGUAGGCGGCCUGCUAAGUCGAACGUGAAAUCCCCGGGCUCAACCCGGGAACUGCGUCCGAUACUGGUUGGCUUGAAUCCGGGAGAGGGAUGCGGAAUUCCAGGUGUAGCGGUGAAAUGCGUAGAUAUCUGGAGGAACACCGGUGGCGAAGGCGGCAUCCUGGACCGGCAUUGACGCUGAGUGAGCGAAAGCCAGGGGAGCAAACGGG